AGUGAACGCUGGCGGUAGGCCUAACACAUGCAAGUCGAACGGCAGCACAGUAAGAGCUUGCUCUUACGGGUGGCGAGUGGCGGACGGGUGAGGAAUACAUCGGAAUCUACUUUUUCGCGGGGGAUAACGUAGGGAAACUUACGCUAAUACCGCAUACGACCUACGGGUGAAAGCAGGGGAUCUUCGGACCUUGCGCGAUUGAAUGAGCCGAUGUCGGAUUAGCUAGUUGGCGGGGUAAGGCCCACCAAGGCGACGAUCCGUAGCUGGUCUGAGAGGAUGAUCAGCCACACUGGAACUGAGACACGGUCCAGACUCCUACGGGAGGCAGCAGUGGGGAAUAUUGGACAAUGGGCGCAAGCCUGAUCCAGCCAUACCGCGUGGGUGAAGAAGGCCUUCGGGUUGUAAAGCCCUUUUGUUGGGAAAGAAAAGCAGCAGGUUAAUACCCCGCUGUUCUGACGGUACCCAAAGAAUAAGCACCGGCUAACUUCGUG
rnacentral:rRNA from 1 species